GAUGAACGCUGGCGGCGUGCCUAAUACAUGCAAGUCGAGCGAAUGGAUUAAGAGCUUGCUCUUAUGAAGUUAGCGGCGGACGGGUGAGUAACACGUGGGUAACCAGCCCAUAAGACUGGGAUGACUCCGGGAAACCGGGGCUAAUACCGGAUAACAUUUUGAACCGCAUGGUUCGAAAUUGAAAGGCGGCUUCGGCUGUCACUUAUGGAUGGACCCGCGUCGCAUUAGCUAGUUGGUGAGGUAACGGCUCACCAAGGCAACGAUGCGUAGCCGACCUGAGAGGGUGAUCGGCCACACUGGGACUGAGACACGGCCCAGACUCCGGCGGGAGGCAGCAGUAGGGAAUCUUCCGCAAUGGACGAAAGUCUGACGGAGAAACGCCGCGUGAGUGAUGAAGGCUUUCGGGUCGUAAAACUCUGUUGUUAGGGAAGAACAAGUGCUAGUUGAAUAAGCUGGCACCUUGACGGUACCUAACCAGAAAGCCACGGCUAACUACGUGCCAGCAGCCGCGGUAA
rnacentral:rRNA from 1 species